rnacentral:rRNA from 1 species
AUUGAACGCUGGCGGCAUGCCUUACACAUGCAAGUCGAACGGCAGCAUAGGAGCUUGCUCCUGAUGGCGAGUGGCGAACGGGUGAGUAUUAUAUCGGAACGUGCCCUAGAGUGGGGGAUAACUAGUCGAAAGACUAGCUAAUACCGCAUACGAUCUACGGAUGAAAGUGGGGGAUCGCAAGACCUCAUGCUCCUGGAGCGGCCGAUAUCUGAUUAGCUAGUUGGUGGGGUAAAAGCCUACCAAGGCAACGAUCAGUAGCUGGUCUGAGAGGACGACCGGCCACACUGGGAGUGAGACACGGCCCAGACUCCUACGGGAGGCAGCAGGGGGGAAUUUUGGACAAUGGGGGCAACCCUGAUCCAGCAAUGCCGUGUGAGUGAAGAAGGCCUUCGGGUUGUAAAGCUCUUUUGUCAGGGAAGAAACGGUAGUAGCGAAUAACUACUACUAAUGACGGUACCUGAAGAAUAAGCACCGGCUAACUACGUGCCAGCAGCCGCCGUAA